rnacentral:rRNA from 1 species
AUCUACGGCAUACCCCCCUGAACGCGCCUGAUCUCGUCUUGGAAGCUAAGCAGGGUCAGGCCUGAUUAGUACUUGGAUGGGAGAACCAUUGCUCUAAAUAAUGCUCAGUGGCUU